UACAGGGGGUGCAAACGUUGCUCGGAAUCAUUGGGCGUAAAGCGCACGUAGGCGGUUCGUUAUGUCGGAUGUGAAAGCCCUUGGCUUAACCGAGGAAGUGCAUCCGAAACUGGCGAGCUAGAGUACGAAAGAGGAUCGCGGAAUUCCCGGUGUAGAGGUGAAAUUCGUAGAUAUCGAGAGGAACGCCAACGGCGAAAGCAGGCAGCUGGGGAUGCACCGACGCUGAGACACGAAAGCCAGGGAGCGAACGGG
rnacentral:rRNA from 1 species